UUUUUAUCUGUGUCAGACUUAACUGAGUAUUUGAAUGGGUCACUGUUUGGAAUGAAGUGUGCAUACGCUGUCUAUUUUAGGACAUCUUCAGGGAUGUAUGGACACUCAGUCAUCUGCUCCUCUUGUUGUGUUUUCAGGGAUGAAGAGAAGAUGGCUACUGGAUGUUCUCUGGACUGGAUCCUGUAUCAGCAGCAGCAGUGGAAGAUCCAUUUUAGAUCUGGCUAUCAUCAAUAUCAUUUAUUAAUAUCAGAAUACAGACCUUUAGACUAAUGUGAGGAGUGUUGUCCAGUGUUCCUCAGCCCCUUCUGGACAGGUACAUAAUGGGACACUUCACGUUUCCUCAGUCCCUUCUGGACAGGUACAUAAUGGGACACUUCACGUUUCCUCAGCCCCUUCUAGACAGGUACAUAAUGGGACAGUUCACGUUUCCUCAGCCCCUUCUGGACAGGUACAUAAUGGGACACUUCACGUUUCCUCAGUCCCUUCUGGACAGGUACAUAAUGGGACAGUUCACGUUUCCUCAGCCCCUUCUGGACAGGUACAUAAUGGGACAGUCCACUUUUCAUCACAUCCCCCAUGGAAAGUUACAGUCCACUUUAACCACCAACACCCCUUGCCUCCAUAACGUACAUGGGACAGUCUCACAUUUCUUCUAGAAUAAGACAUGACAGUCAUCCACUCCAGUUCACCCAAUGGGAUUCCAACAGAAUGACUUAUUCUACUGCACAUGUCUAAAGCACUGC
ensembl:lncRNA